rnacentral:piRNA from 1 species
UGCUGCUGUCAUCAAGGCUCGGAAAC